GCCAUAUUGAAAUUCGUAAGGAGGCAAUUUCACGGUAUAUAUGUACACAGAAUGUUCGCUUGUACAGCGCCUUAUCCGGGCUUAUGGUCAGGUCAAGGGCUACACAACUGACAAAAGGUUCAGAAGGGUUGAGAGCAGUCCUUCCCUUGCAAUGAUGGGAGGCUGACAGAGAGGAGGGGCACCGUCUGCUGGAUGGCCUGUAGUGCUGAUGGCAGCAACUGGACGUCUUGUGUCUCCUGAAGACGACGGAAGAAAACAUCUCUCUGGGCUGUAGGAGGCAGAGAAGAGUAGUGCCUACUCCUUUUUAUCCUAUUGGAUGGUAUGAGACUUGCACUCUUAACCAGUCUCUCUCUCAAUGAAUGUAGUUGCUUG